CACAUUCGCGGAACAAAAUUUGUGUAAAGGCUCCUCAAAGAGAUUAGUUAGCGUCGAGUGUAAAUGGAAUUUGAUGGUGGGUGAGUGUAGUGAGGUGGAUGUUGUGGUUGUGGUGGUGGUAGUGGCAGUGGCCGGGGAAAAGAGCGACGGUGUGAGGACUGUGGUAAAGGCAGCAGCGCGGGAGUUCAGUGUGGUGGUGGAGGUGGUAGUGUGGUGGUGUAUGGUCGUGUUGAUGCUGCCGCCGCCGCUGUGCCGUUGCUGUUAACCUCAGCCUCCCUGCGGUCAUCCCCAGCAGAUAAACGAUAAUAAGAAGUUGAAGACAAGAAGUCGCUGCUUGGUGCGUGACAGAGCCCUGGUGACUGCUGCCGCUGGU